rnacentral:rRNA from 1 species
UUGAAGAGUUUGAUCAUGGCUCAGAUUGAACGCUGGCGGCAGGCCUAACACAUGCAAGUCGAGCGGUUGAGGAUAGCUUGCUAUCCAAAGCAGCGGCGGACGGGUGAGUAACGCGUGGGAAUCUACCUAGUAGAGGGGGACAACUCGGGGAAACUCGAGCUAAUACCGCAUACGCCCUACGGGGGAAAGGAGGGGAUCUUCGGACCUUCCGCUAUUAGAUGAGCCCGCGUUAGAUUAGCUAGUUGGUAGGGUAAAGGCCUACCAAGGCGACGAUCUAUAGCUGGUCUGAGAGGAUGAUCAGCCACAUUGGGACUGAGACACGGCCCAAACUCCUACGGGAGGCAGCAGUGGGGAAUAUUGCACAAUGGGCGGAAGCCUGAUGCAGCGACGCCGCGUGGGGGAUGACGGCCUUCGGGUUGUAAACCGCUUUCGCCUGUGACGAAGCGUGAGUGACGGUAAUGGGUAAAGAAGCACCGGCUAACUACGUGC